rnacentral:rRNA from 1 species
AGUGAACGCUGGCGGUAGGCCUAACACAUGCAGGUCGAACGGCAGCACAGUAAGAGCUUGCUCUUACGGGUGGCGAGUGGCGGACGGGUGAGGAAUACAUCGGAAUCUACUUUUUCGUGGGGGAUAACGUAGGGAAACUUACGCUAAUACCGCAUACGACCUACGGGUGAAAGCAGGGGAUCUUCGGACCUUGCGCGAUUGAAUGAGCCGAUGUCGGAUAGCUAGUUGGCGGGGUAAAGGCCCACCAAGGCGACGAUCCGUAGCUGGUCUGAGAGGAUGAUCAGCCACACUGGAACUGAGACACGGUCCAGACUCCUACGGGAGGCAGCAGUGGGGAAUAUUGGACAAUGGGCGCAAGCCUGAUCCAGCCAUACCGCGUGGGUGAAGAAGGCCUUCGGGUUGUAAAGCCCUUUUGUUGGGAAAGAAAAGCAGCAGGUUAAUACCCCGCUGUUCUGACGGUACCCAAAGAAUAAGCACCGGCUAACUUCGUG